GACGAACGCUGGCGGCGUGCCUAAUACAUGCAAGUUGAGCGCAGAAACGUGGUACUUGUACCAACGAGGUUAGCAGCGGACGGGUGAGUAACACGUGGGGAAUCUACCUUUAAGCCUGGGACAACAUUGGGAAACGAAUGCUAAUACCGCAUAAAAACUUUAAACACAAGGUUUAAUAGUGAAAGAUGGAAUUGCUUUACCUAAAAGUGAGCUCCGGGUCGAUUAAGUAGGUGGGUAGGGUAAUGGCUUACAAAGCGAAGAAUGCUAACCCGACUUGAGGGGGUGAUCGGCCACUCGGGAACGAAGACACGCUCCAGACUCCUCGGGAAGGCAGCAGAAGGGAAUCUUCCGCAAUGGGCGAAGGCCUGACGGAGCAACGCCGCGUAGUGAAUGAAGGUCUUCGGUUCGUAAAACUCGGUUGUAAGGGAGGAACAAAGUUGUAGGGAACUAUGCACGUCGUGACGGUACCUAAUCAGAAAGCCACGGCUAACUACGUG
rnacentral:rRNA from 1 species